GGGUCUGUAGCUUAACUGGUAAAGCGUCAAUCUGGCAGAUUGAAAGAUGGGGGUUCAAUUCCCCCCAGUAUCCACCA
rnacentral:tRNA from 3 species